rnacentral:rRNA from 1 species
AACGAACGCUGGCGGCAUGCCUAACACAUGCAAGUCGAACGAGACCUUCGGGUCUAGUGGCGCACGGGUGCGUAACGCGUGGGAACCUGCCCUUAGGUUCGGAAUAACUCCCCGAAAGGGGUGCUAAUACCGGAUAAUGUCUUCGGACCAAAGAUUUAUCGCCUCUGGAUGGGCCCGCGUUGGAUUAGCUAGUUGGUAGGGUAAAAGCCUACCAAGGCGACGAUCCAUAGCUGGUCUGAGAGGAUGAUCAGCCACACUGGGACUGAGACACGGCCCAGACUCCUACGGGAGGCAGCAGUGGGGAAUAUUGGAAAAUGGGCGAAAGCCUGAUCCAGCAAUGCCGCGUGAGUGAUGAAGGCCUUAGGGUUGUAAAGCUCUUUUACCCGGGAUGAUAAUGACAGUACCGGGAGAAUAAGCUCCGGCUAACUCCGUG